CAACCCUCAGACCAAGGAGACCUGCCUACAGCUGCAUUCCACCCACAUCGUUGUCUAAAUCUCCAAAGUCCUCUGGCCCCCACCUGUGCCAUCUUUGAUAACCGGACUCACUCUGUAGGCAAUCAAGGCCGGGGCUCUAGAACUCUCACACCAUGAUAUUUACUUGCCUUUCUGGAUGGUGAGAGUUUCCAACGAGGUCUUUGAAAAAGAAGCAAAGCAAGUAAGAACGCCUUGUUCAAUAGCUUCAGAUGGCCAACCAAUCACCAGACGUGGGCUAUCCCCAAGGAGGAGCGCAUCCUAGAGCAAGGUGGCUCUCCCUGAGACAAGGCUGAGGACAAUUCCAGGGAAAGGGCUCUCUGAGAGCACAACAGCCACCAACAUUCCCCUACCUGGGGACCAAAUGUCCUCUCUGCCCUGAAGUGGCAAUCUGGGUGAUUGCCUCUACAGAUACAUAAUCAAGUCUCUCUUCUGCUCUCAACACAAAACAGGAAGCUUUACAGAUAACCUGUUUGAAGAAUGAUUCUCUCAGAGUCGAGGCUUUAUGUUCUCAAGAGACUGAGAACUCCAAUCUGUCAGGAACUCAGAGGGAACUGCCUUCAAGCUAAUCACUAGGGACCAUCUCUCAUCCUCUGGGGUGCUAUGGAAAAUUCAACUCAAAUUCAUUAGCAAUCUGAAAGCUAAUUAUUUCACCAAAAGAUCUUAGUGAAUUUCUAUAUUAAAAAUUCCCAGCUGGGGCACCUGGAUGGCUCAGUUGGUUAAGCACCUGACUCUUGAUUUUGGCUCAG